UUCAAUUGUAUCCUUUAAAAUAUGACUUUAAAAUAAAAAAGUCGGCGAUCGCUGUCAAUUCAGAAAUCAGAAAUUUGGAGAGAUGAAGAGAACUAGAUUGUUCCGGCCAUUUAUAGACUAUCAUAUUGUUUUUGAUAUUACGAGCUUUGUAUAGAGAAAGAGGAAACUACCAAAUUGUUGUAGAAAAUAUCAUAUCUUAAAUGUUUGGGUAGAUUAGAUGGGUAAUUUGUAACCCCCCUACUCCUUAACUGAUAAUUUUAAUAAUAUUUUUUGAUGUCUUUGCAAUAGGUUUUUCAAAAGCGAUUAAACGGUAGCGAAAGUUUCAACAGAACAUGGUUAGAAUACGAGGAAGGGUUUGGCUCAGCCGCAGGGGAGUUUUGGUUAGGAAAUAGAUAUAUUAACUCACUGACUAUGCUUGGGUACACUUACCUGAGGAUUGAGAUCAUGACUUUUGGCAAUGGCGUUCGUUUUAUUGAAUAUCCCAACUUUGAAAUAGGGGAUUCAACCGAAAAAUAUUUGCUAAGAAGUAUUGGGACAUCAACAGCAAAAUCUGCAGUUAUGGGGAACACUUUAGCGGAGAGUGUUUCAGUAGCAUUUUCAACACCAGAUAGGGAUAAUGACAACAACAAUGCCCCAAAAGACGAAAACUGUGCCUUGACUUUCAAGAGCGGUUGGUGGUUUAACAAUUGUG